rnacentral:rRNA from 1 species
UACAGAGGGUGCGAGCGUUGUCCGGAAUCACUGGGCGUAAAGGGCGCGUAGGUGGCGCUCCAAGUCCGUGGUGAAAGCUCGAUGCUCAACAUCGAGUCGGCCACGGAGACUGGAGGGCUCGAGCACUGUAGGGGCAGAUGGAAUUCCGGGUGUAGCGGUGGAAUGCGUAGAGAUCCGGAAGAACACCGGUGGCGAAGGCGGUCUGCUGGGCAGUUGCUGACACUGAGGCGCGAAAGCCAGGGGAGCAAACGGG